GGAAAGAAUGGAUUUUUCUCCUUGAGAUCCUGUGAUAUGAAUAUUACACUCGUAAGGCAUAUCAACAGAUGACUUAAGGGGGGAAAAGCGAUCCUGAAAGGUACUUGAAAUCAACAGGAAAGAGAGGUUCUUGAUCGCUGCAGCAAAUGGCAACUUGUGCAGUUACAAAUUAUAAUACUGUGGUAGAAACAAAUUCAGAUUCAGAUGAUGAAGACAAACUCCAUAUUGUGGAAGAAGAAAGUGUCACAGAUGCAGCUGAUUGUGAAGGUGUACCAGAGGAUGACCUGCCAACAGACCAGACAGUGUUACCAGGGAGGAGCAGUGAAAGAGAAGGGAAUGCUAAGAACUGCUGGGAGGAUGACAGAAAGGAAGGGCAAGAAAUCCUGGGGCCUGAAGCUCAGGCAGAUGAAGCAGGAUGUACAGUAAAAGAUGAUGAAUGCGAGUCAGAUGCAGAAAAUGAGCAAAACCACGAUCCUAAUGUU
rnacentral:sRNA from 1 species